rnacentral:rRNA from 1 species
CAGUAGCCACGGUAAUACGUAGGGGGCUAGCGUUGCUCGGAAUCACUGGGCGUAAAGGGUGCGUAGGCGGGUCUUUAAGUCAGGGGUGAAAUCCUGAAGCUCAACCCCAGAACUGCCUUUGAUACUGAAGAUCUUGAGUUCGGGAGAGGUGAGUGGAACUGCGAGUGUAGAGGUGAAAUCCGUAGAUAUUCGCAAGAACACCAGUGGCGAAGGCGGCUCACUGGCCCGAUACUGACGCUGAGGUACGAAAGCGUGGGGAGCAAACAGGAUUAGAUACCCGGUAGUCCCUGUCUCUUAUACA